rnacentral:lncRNA from 10 species
CUUUCACGCUCCCAUAACCAUUCCUUGGCCCACCUCCAAGAAAAGGCAGGCUGGCCUCUGUUUAGGUGUUGUCUGUGCUUGCAUUCCCAACGUUGACAUGAGGAAUUAUCAAUGGGUUCCGGACAUAAUCAGCCACACGGCAGAGUGAAUUCCAGGAGUGUAAAUAACAAGAGCUGCCUAUAAAUCUACCUCAGAAGACAAAGGGAAAAGCAAAACUCUGCCCAGGAAGACCUUACUUUACAAACCAGGUGACCAAAUUUCUAAAACAUCAUUCCCGUAAUCCCUGAUCAACAGAAAGGAAGCUCUGGAAGCAUGAAUGCUCAACCAUAUUUACCAGCCUUCCUGUGGUCAUUUGUCUGAGCUCCAGCUAGUGAAGUAUGAGUAGAACGGACAUGCACCACUUCCAGACCUGGCACCGGCAAACCCCCCAUGGCAACCCUCCAACCCUUUCCUCAACAACUGGACCACGCUGGAAAGGACUGAGGAUCUAGAGGAGGACAGGGCUGUAAUAUGGAAGGAGUUUGGUUUCUGAAGGACCAUGUAGCAGGCCACCUGCAGGGCGGGAACAUCUUUAAUAGGUUUGGAAUAGCAAGAAAUAAACUGGUCUUGUAUUAAACAACUAA